rnacentral:rRNA from 1 species
GUGGGGAAUAUUGGACAAUGGGCGAAAGCCUGAUCCAGCAAUGCCGCGUGAGUGAUGAAGGCCUUAGGGUUGUAAAGCUCUUUUACCCGGGAUGAUAAUGACAGUACCGGGAGAAUAAGCUCCGGCUAACUCCGUGCCAGCAGCCGCGGUAAUACGGAGGGAGCUAGCGUUGUUCGGAAUUACUGGGCGUAAAGCGCAAGUAGGCGGCUUUGUAAGUUAGAGGUGAAAGCCUGGAGCUUAACUCCAGAACUGCCUUUAAGACUGCAUCGCUUGAAUCCAGGGGAGGUGAGUGGAAUUCCGAGUGUAGAGGUGAAAUUCGUAGAUAUUCGGAAGAACACCAGUGGCGAAGGCGGCUCACUGGACUGGUAUUGACGCUGAGGUGCGAAAGCGUGGGGAGCAAACAGGAUUAGAUACCCUAGUAGUCC